rnacentral:rRNA from 1 species
GACGAACGCUGGCGGCGUGCUUAACACAUGCAAGUCGAACGGAAAGGCCCUGCCUUUGUGGGGUGCUCGAGUGGCGAACGGGUGAGUAACACGUGAGUAACCUGCCCUUGACUUUGGGAUAACUUCAGGAAACUGGGGCUAAUACCGGAUAGGAGCUCCUGCUGCAUGGUGGGGGUUGGAAAGUUUCGGCGGUUGGGGAUGGACUCGCGGCUUAUCAGCUUGUUGGUGGGGUAGUGGCUUACCAAGGCUUUGACGGGUAGCCGGCCUGAGAGGGUGACCGGCCACAUUGGGACUGAGAUACGGCCCAGACGCCUACGGGAGGCAGCAGUGGGGAAUAUGGCACAAUGGGCGGAAGCCUGAUGCAGCAACGCCGCGGGCGGGAUGACGGCCUUCGGGGUGUAAACCGCUUUCGCCUGUGACGAAGCGGGAGUGACGGUAAUGGGUAAAGAAGCACCGGCUAACUACGUG